UACGUAGGGAGCAAGCGUUGUUCGGAUUUACUGGGCGUAAAGGGCGCGUAGGCGGCGCGGUAAGUCACUUGUAGAAAUCAUCUGAGCUUAACUCAGAACGGCCAAGUGAUACUGCAGGGCUAGAGUGCGGAAGGGGCAACUGGAAUUCUCGGUGUAGCGGUGAAAUGCGUAGAUAAUCGGGAGGAACACCAGUGGCGAAGGCGGUUGCCUGGAGCUCUGCUGACGCUGAUGCGCGAAAGCGUGGGGAGCGAAACGG
rnacentral:rRNA from 1 species